GCCAGCAGGGGUGGCCGUCCACCACGAGUGCAAACCCCACAGAGCCUCCAGCCGCCCUGGAGGAGACUCACCCUCUGCUCCCUCUGGAGGCUCCAGGAGAGGCUGCUUCCUGCCUCUCCCAGCUUCCAGUGGCCCUGGGCACCCUUGGCUUGUGGCCACAUCCUUCCAGUCUCUGCUUCCAUCUUCACAGGGCCUCCUUCUCUGUGUCCAAUCUCCCUCGGCUUUCCUUGUGUAAGGACACACGCCAGCCGUGGGAUUUAAGGCCCACCCAGACGAUCCAGGACGACCUCACCUCGAGAUCCUUCACUCAAAGACCCUAGUUCCAGCCCGUGCCUCCAGCCCCCCGACCACACGUCUGUUCCUCCAGCACACCAGGCUCUGCUGCGCCUCUGCACGCUUCCCUCUGCUGGGAAAACUCGACAACACAGCGAAGAAUCUCAUCCUCGUGAGGACCUC
rnacentral:lncRNA from 10 species